CGCGGCUAAUGUGCCUUAUACACUUUUCAAUUCCCCUCUCCAGACGAAAUCGAAUGGUUUUAAAUUAAUGGAUGACGUGAAACUUACUUGCGAGAAUAAUGUUUUUAUCGAUGAUCAUCUAUACAAGUUAUUUACAAGUAAUUCGUCAAAUUGAUUUGUCUUCGAAACUACGAUUCAUGCAGUGUAUUAUUACCAAUAUUAUGGAAUGUGCAGAGUGAAGCAUGAUCAAGGUCUAUUAUGUGAUGAACGAGGGCUAUGGAGCAGAUUACGACUAGUAGGUUGCGACUGAUGAAGCCGAUGCAGGGCGUUGCCAAGGACAUCGGGGCUCGAGUACAGUAGUGGCACCCGCUCCUCUGUGUGCGCGUGAGGCAUGGGAAGAAGACGUAGCACGAGCAAACAAGGAACGAAAAACAAACAAACGAUAAGGUGCCAAAAUUAUAAAUAAUACCCAAAAAAUGAAGAAAACUUAAAGAUAUAUACGUAAAUCAUAUGUAUAUUGAGAAUCACGCCAUGCGGUUUUAUUUAAAAUAAAUCCGAUUCAUUUGAAUGUGCAACUAAAUACUUUUACGUGUGUCAAACUUUUCUUCGCUAGUUGCGUCAAUAUACUCAUAAAAGCUACGUAUUAAAAGUAAAUAACGAUUUUAGAAAUAUACUGGUUUCGCUUAUUCGUUCGGAAUUUAAUUAUUACAUGAAAUUUUUUUGUCACUAUGCACACAACAUGAUUCCCCAUAAUAAUGUAUCCGACUAAUCAACGGGAAUAACAAGUCACAUGUACCAUGAAACGGAGAAUCACCUGUAGAAGCACUUGCCUCAAACAUGCAAACAGGGCAUGCGAUUGAAAUAAAAAACUACAAACAGAAA